rnacentral:lncRNA from 1 species
CCCGAAAUAGAUUUUAACCAAGUCGCUGCGGUAAAAUGACCUUUAGCGGCAACCCUAGUCGCCACUAAAACUAUUUAACCAUCAGUGGCAACAACUAUGAAAAUGCCUAGUAGCGACUAUACUUGCCACAAAAACUGUUAAACUAUCAAAUCAUAAAUGAUGUUUAGAGGCGAUUGUAGUCACUACAAAAAGCAUUAUCACUUCUGUGGAAACUCUCAAUUCGCCACAACUAAUCUUUUGUGACAAGGUUCUGUCGUCACUAAAACUUAUUCAUUCAGCAACUAUAAUGAACACAAUUAUACUACAUUUCUAGUGGCAACCAAUUGUCUAAAUUAAAAUACAAAUAUAUUUCUAUCAAUUGUCUACAAGUAUUAAGAGAAUCAAAUAUUAUCCAACAAACACCCAAAAGCAUUUCUCAAACAAAAUAUUAAAAUUACUUCCACUACUAAAAAGUCAAUUACAAUAUAGACUACACAAUACUUUAUUGUACAUUUUACGCCAUUGUUUAUGAACCUUGGACCUUGGACCUGUUAUUAAAGUAAAAACACACACAUCACUUUGACAAUUCUCACAAUUUAAUGCAAAUAGUAAAAGGGGUGACAAUAAUCCCAAAACUUAAAUGAAAGAUCAAUUCUAAAUAGAACUAGGCGUGUACAUUGUGUGAGAGUUAUUCUAUCAGAAAGAAGAUUGUUCAUAUAUCAAUACAUCUGAAAUUCAAUGUGCAGUAAUUCCACCAAAUAAACAAAUCAUGUGUUGCUCAAGUGGGAUGUAUCUUAAGAAUGAUAUUCAACAGAUGAUACAGGGUAAUGUUAUAAAUAAGUGCAUAAGACUUGUUUACAAUUUUAUCACCCUAAAUCCUGGAAGGAUAUAGCACAAUCUUGAUAUUAUCACUGUCAAAAUAUUUUCAAGAAAAGACACCAGAAAUGGUAAACUUCUUAAUGGCAGAAAAUGGACCUAGUUCGAUGGAACUUGCUAGUUUUAUGCUUUAGUGUAACUGAUGUUUAUUGCUGUAACACAAGGGUCAAAAACUUUAGAAGAAGCUAACACAUUAGAUCUGAGAAGCCUCUUUCAAAGUUCCAUAUUUAAAAGAGCAUGUAAAUGACGCAGGCUUACAAUAUCUUAUCCAUUCUAACAAAAAACACAAGUAUCAGUCAUUACUAAAAUUCACUUCUAAAGUCUAUUCAGGUUGAUUCAGAUGAAAAAGCCACAUAUUGAAGAUAUAGAAUCCAAUUUCCUUCUUUGAUCAUACCAGGUCAUGAAGAGUACAAAAAUAUUAGCAGUACCUGUUGCAUUCGGGUCAUGAAAGCAGCUUAUUGUUCUAUAUCCACUUGUUCACGCUCCUCUUCCAACCUCCUUUGCAACUCCUGUUCCAUAUUCCUUCGCAAAUCGGCUUUUCAUGCUCUAAAAAGCAGCAUAGUGCUGAUCACAAAGGCUUGCAACUUAUGCUUUCGCAGCCCGCCACAACCUUCAGAUUUAUCCUAAACACAAAUGUAAUAUUACGUUUGAUAUUCAUGCCAAAUAUAGUCAGGCUAAGCACCGGUUCUACUUCAAUACUGAUUCUAUUUACGAAAUUAACGAUACAAGCAUCAUGAACUUUAUUUGUGAAACACUUGGAACAACUGAAUCAUGAAAAUUUAUACAAUUGUAUGAUAAAAAAUGCAGCGAACUAAACCAUGACACUCAAUUAGACAUCAUUAUUACCAUGAAAAGUAUCUCUUUCUCUUCCUAGUUCCUAAUCUUACUACAUUUCUUGACAUCUUACCGUGUUAUCAGUAUUUAGAAAGUUAACUCCUCCUUCAAAGAAUUGAUAUAUAACUAAUAAAAUAAAAAGUAAAUAACCAUCUGGAAUUGGAGCCAAAUGCAAAAAUAUGCAGGUCCCAUCACUAAACACCUGUAGCUGUUUGAUUAAAUUCAUAUUCAAUACUUUUCAAUGUUUGAAACCAUUAAAGUAAGAAACUCAAACUAUAUUUGGGAAACAAUAUCAAAUAAAAAGUAGGACAAGUAUUUUCUACUUGUAAAACUAGAAAAGGUUCAGUUCAAAAGCAGUAAGCAGGUUCCAUCUUUCUGUUUCACUUUCCUACAUAAAUAAAUGCUAAAGUCUGUUUUAAUUUCCUAUUUGAUAUACCUGAGUAGUCAAAUAUGGAACAAACACAAAUACAUCUCAAUAACACACUACAAGAGAAUCAAUAUCUAACAGCAUCGCAAUUGAGUGACUCAAGUCAUAUUUGACAGUAUCAAAAUCCAUGCAUAUCAUAAUUCGGUGCAAAAUCCUAGCUCAAAAUGAGAGCCACAUACUAGGGAAACAACAUAAAGAUGGUAUCAUCAUUAAGGAUGUUGAAGUUCCCGGAGAGAAAAAAAUGAAACCUUUGAAUGUUCUUCGAAAUAACCUGAUUUCAUAAAAGAAUAUCAAUUAUAUAAGCUGAGUUUAAGAUGUGACUCACAUGCUCUCCUUCCUGAAUUACAUACAAGUAUGCCCUUUUUCUACAUACACAGAGAAAGUACAAAGAGUAGAAUAUAUUAGGCUGAAGUGAAGAAUGCUCUUAAGUGAAUAAGGCAGAGAUUAAACCAAGAAAAAAUGCUCAUGUUCCGGAAAUUAAACACUUCAGGAAAUUUCUUAACACUCAGAUACUUAAAAAGCAACAGAAUCCAUCUUCAAAGCUAAAAACCCAGGUAAAUUUAACCUAAAAGAAGCCCUUUUCUUUGAAAAACUUACAAAAUUCGAGAUACCCAGUUUAAUAUCAAACAUUCAAUCACAAUAACAACACCAAAAGGUCUAAAAUUUCAAAAAAAAAAAAAAACUUUCAGCACAUCCAAAGAAAGAGAUAAUUGAGAGACGACCGUCAAGAUCGAGAAUCGACAAAAUAGGGGAAAUAAAAAUAGAGAUAGAUAGACAUUGUACCUUCAAAACUUCGAACGGCUUAGAACUGCUUACCCUCGCAAUGAUUUUCAAACUUUGAACUUUCCUCCUUCCUUCUUUGAGUUGUCUCUACUGUGAUUUGAGCGAUUUGAGAGAUUGUGAGGUGUUUGAGCAGAGAAAAUAUUGAGAAAUUCACAGAGAAGAAACGCAGCAAAGAACUAGUAUUGGAGCAAAGAAACCUAGGGAAGAGAGCAUUUGAUAUUUUUGGAUAUUCUAUUUAGUACUUUUUUU